rnacentral:lncRNA from 1 species
AACAGAGAAGCCAAGCAUUUUUCUCUUCCGCGAAGAUGGGACGGCCGAUCAUUGUCGUUGGGCUGUCGGCCUCCACCGAGGGUCUGAAAUCUCUUGCCCUGGAAAAUCUAGGAAAUACCAGGUGGUCCAACAUCAAGGUCCUCGUCUCAUAUAACUCCCACGCACAGGCAUGGAUGGAGUGUUAGCCUGUGGUGUGUUAGAAAUGUGCCACU